rnacentral:rRNA from 1 species
UGGGCGUAAGCGCACGCAGGCGGUCUGUCAAGUCGGAUGUGAAAUCCCCGGGCUCAACCUGGGAACUGCAUUCGAAACUGGCAGGCUAGAGUCUUGUAGAGGGGGGUAGAAUUCCAGGUGUAGCGGUGAAAUGCGUAGAGAUCUGGAGGAAUACCGGUGGCGAAGGCGGCCCCCUGGACAAAGACUGACGCUCAGGUGCGAAAGCGUGGGGAGCAAACAGGAUUAGAUACCCUGGUAGUCCACGCCGUAAACGAUGUCGACUUGGAGGUUGUGCCCUUGAGGCGUGGCUUCCGGAGCUAACGCGUUAAGUCGACCGCCUGGGGAGUACGGCCGCAAGGUUAAAACUCAAAUGAAUUGACGGGGGCCCGCACAAGCGGUGGAGCAUGUGGUUUAAUUCGAUGCAACGCGAAGAACCUUACCUACUCUUGACAUCCAGAGAACUUAGCAGAGAUGCUUUGGUGCCUUCGGGAACUCUGAGACAGGUGCUGCAUGGCUGUCGUCAGCUCGUGUUGUGAAAUGUUGGGUUAAGUCCCGCAACGAGCGCAACCCUUAUCCUUUGUUGCCAGCGGUUAGGCCGGGAACUCAAAGGAGACUGCCAGUGAUAAACUGGAGGAAG